rnacentral:rRNA from 1 species
UACAGAGGUCCCAAGCGUUGUUCGGAUUCACUGGGCGUAAAGGGUGCGUAGGCGGCGGAGUAAGUUGGGUGUGAAAUCCCGGGGCUCAACCUCGGAAUUGCAUUCAAUACUGCUUCGCUCGAGUACUGGAGAGGAGGCUGGAAUUUACGGUGUAGCAGUGAAAUGCGUAGAUAUCGUAAGGAAGGCCGGUGGCGAAAGCGAGCCUCUGGACAGUUACUGACGCUGAUGCACGAAGGCCAGGGGAGCAAACGGG